UUGACUGGGGCGGUCGCCUCCCAAAAGGUAACGGAGGCGCCCAAAGGUUCUCUCAGUACGGUCGGAAAUCGUACGUAGAGUGUAAAGGCAAAAGAGAGCUUGAUUGCAAGACAUACAGGUCGAGCAAGGAUGAAAAUCGGACUUAGUGAUCCGGUGGUUCUGCGUGGAAGGGCCAUCGCUCAACGGAUAAAAGCUACCCUGGGGAUAACAGGCUUAUCUCCCCCAAGAGUCCACAUCGACGGGGAGGUUUGGCACCUCGAUGUCGGCUCAUCACAUCCUGGGGCUGUAGUAGGUCCCAAGGGUUGGG
rnacentral:rRNA from 1 species